rnacentral:rRNA from 1 species
CGGGUGCACUGGUUCGGCCGGGCCUUUCCUUCUGGCAAGCCGCAUGCCCUUUACUGGGUGUGUUGGGGAACCAGGACUUUUACUUUGAAAAAAUUAGAGUGUUCAAAGCAGGCAUAUGCUCGAAUACAUUAGCAUGGAAUAAUAGAAUAGGACGUGCGGUUCUAUUUUGUUGGUUUCUAGGACCGCCGUAAUGAUUAAUAGGGAUAGUCGGGGGCAUCCGUAUUCAAUUGUCAGAGGUGAAAUUCUUGGAUUUAUUGAAGACGAACUACUGCGAAAGCAUUUGCCAAGGAUGUUUUCAUUAAUCAGGAACGAAAGUUAGAGGUUCGAAGGCGAUCAGAUACCGCCCUAGUUCUAACCAUAAACUAUGCCAACUAGCAAUUUGCUUUGUAUUUUUUAUGACUAAGUGAGAGGCCACGGGAAACCUAAGUAGGGUUAUGGGGGAAGUAUGGUUGCAAAGCUGAAACUUAAAGGAAUUGACGGAAGGGCACCACCAGGAGUGGAGCCUGCGGCUUAAUUUGACUCAACACGGGGAAACUCACCAGGUCCAGACACAUUAAGGAUUGACAGAUUGAGAGCUCUUUCUUGAUCAUGUGGGUGGUGGUGCAUGGCCGUUCUUAGUUGGUGGAGUGAUUUGUCUGCUUAAUUGCGAUAACGAACGAGACCUUAACCUGCUAAAUAGCCCAGCCCGCUUCUGCGGGUUGCUGGCUUCUUAGAGGGACUAUCGG